AAAGUUUAUUAUUGAGCAAGGAAACAUUUACGUCUGGUCCAGUGUUUCUUUAACGACGUAGAACACAACACAUGAGGACGUAGAACACAUGAGAACGUAGAACCCAACACACGAGGACGUAGAACACAUGAGAACGUAGAACCCAACACACGAGAACGUAGAACCCAGCACACAAGGACGUAGAACCCAACACGAGGACGUAGGAACCCAACACAUGAGGACGUAGAACACAAUGACGUAGAACCCAACCUGUCUGGCCUUGAUCUCUAUGAGCUGCCAGAUCAAUAGUAAAAAUGUAUUGUGGAAGGACCACCAGAAGGCAGGCUGGGCUCACGGAUAGCAGCCCAACAAGGCAUGGGAGACAAGGUAACCAGAGGGCAGGCUGGGCUCACGGAUAGCAGCCCAACAAGGCAUGGGAGACAAGGUAACCAGAGGGCAGGCUGGGCUCACGGAUAGCAGCCCAACAAGGCAUGGGAGACAAGGUAACCAGAGGGCAGGCUGGGCUCACGGAUAGCAGCCCAACAAGGCAUGGGAGACAAGGUAACCAGAGGGCAGGCUGGGCUCACGGAUAGCAGCCCAACAAGGUAACCAGAGGGCAGGCUGGGCUCACGGAUAGCAGCCCAACAAGGCAUGGGAGACAAGGUAACCAGAGGGCAGGCUGGGCUCACGGAUAGCAGCCCAACAAGGUAACCAGAGGGCAGGCUGGGCUCACGGAUAGUAGCCCAACAAGGCAUGGGAGACAAGGUAACCAGAGGGCAGGCUGGGCUCACGGAUAGCAGCCCAACAAGGCAUGGGAGACAAGGUAACCAGAGGGCAGGCUGGGCUCACGGAUAGCAGCCCAACAAGGUAACCAGAGGGCAGGCUGGGCUCACGGAUAGUAGCCCAACAAGGUAACCAGAGGGCAGGCUGGGCUCACGGAUAGUAGCCCAACAAGGCAUGGGAGACAAGGUAACCAGAGGGCAGGCUGGGCUCAGGGAUAGCAGCCCAACAAGGCAUGGGAGACAAGGUAACCAGGGGGCAGGCUGGGCUCACGGAUAGCAGCCCAACAAGGCAUGGGAGACAAGGUAACCAGAGGGGAGGCUGGGCUCAGGGAUAGCAGCCCAACAAGGCAUGGGAGACAAGGUAACCAGGGGGCAGGCUGGGCUCAGGGAUAGCAGCCCAACAAGGUAACCAGAGGGCAGGCUGGGCUCACGGAUAGCAGCCCAACAAGGUAACCAGAGGGCAGGCUGGGCUCACGGAUAGCAGCCCAACAAGGUAACCAGAGGGCAGGCUGGGCUCACGGAUAGCAGCCCAACAAGGCAUGGGAGACAAGGUAACCAGAGGGCAGGCUGGGCUCACGGAUAGCAGCCCAACAAGGCAUGGGAGACAAGGUAACCAGAGGGCAGGCUGGGCUCACGGAUAGUAGCCCAACAAGGUAACCAGAGGGCAGGCUGGGCUCACGGAUAGUAGCCCAACAAGGUAACCAGAGGGCAGGCUGGGCUCACGGAUAGUAGCCCAACAAGGUAACCAGAGGGCAGGCUGGGCUCACGGAUAGCAGCCCAACAAGGCAUGGGAGACAAGGUAACCAGAGGACAGGCUGGGCUCACGGAUAGUAGCCCAACAAGGCAUGGGAGACAAGGUAACCAGAGGGCAGGCUGGGCUCACGGAUAGUAGCCCAACAAGGCAUGGGAGACAAGGUAACCAGAGGGCAGGCUGGGCUCACGGAUAGUAGCCCAACAAGGCAUGGGAGACAAGGUAACCAGAGGGCAGGCUGGGCUCACGGAUAGUAGCCCAACAAGGUAACCAGAGGGCAGGCUGGGCUCACGGAUAGUAGCCCAACAAGGUAACCAGAGGGCAGGCUGGGCUCACUGAUAGCAGCCCAACAAGGUAACCAGAGGGCAGGCUGGGCUCACGGAUAGUAGCCCAACAAGGUAACCAGAGGGCAGGCUGGGCUCACUGAUAGUAGCCCAACAAGGUAACCAGAGGGCAGGCUGGGCUCACGGAUAGCAGCCCAACAAGGUAACCAGAGGGCAGGCUGGGCUCACGGAUAGUAGCCCAACAAGGCAUGGGAGACAAGGUAACCAGAGGGGAGGCUGGGCUCACGGAUAGCAGCCCAACAAGGUAACCAGAGGACAGGCUGGGCUCAGGGAUAGCAGCCCAACAAGGUAACCAGAGGGCAGGCUGGGCUCACUGAUAGCAGCCCAACAAGGUAACCAGAGGGCAGGCUGGGCUCACUGAUAGUAGCCCAACAAGGCAUGGGAGACAAGGUAACCAGAGGGCAGGCUGGGCUCAGGGAUAGCAGCCCAACAAGGUAACCAGAGGGCAGGCUGGGCUCACGGAUAGCAGCCCAACAAGGCAUGGGAGACAAGGUAACCAGAGGGCAGGCUGGGCUCACGGAUAGCAGCCCAACAAGGUAACCAGAGGACAGGCUGGGCUCACGGAUAGCAGCCCAACAAGGCAUGGGAGACAAGGUAACCAGAGGGCAGGCUGGGCUCAGGGAUAGCAGCCCAACAAGGCAUGGGAGACAAGGUAACCAGAGGACAGGCUGGGCUCAGGGAUAGCAGCCCAACAAGGUAACCAGAGGGCAGGCUGGGCUCAGGGAUA